rnacentral:misc_RNA from 1 species
GAAAUGCGAUAACUAGUGUGAAUUGCAGAAUUCCGUGAAUCAUCGAGUCUUUGAACGCACAUUGCGCCCCCUGGUAUUCCGGGGGGCAUGCCUGUCCGAGCGUCAUUGCUGCCCAUCAAGCACGGCUUGUGUGUUGGGUCGUCGUCCCCUCUCCGGGGGGGACGGGCCCCAAAGGCAGCGGCGGCACCGCGUCCGAUCCUCGAGCGUAUGGGGCUUUGUCACCCGCUCUGUAGGCCCGUCCGGCGCUUGCCGAACGCAAAUCAAUCUUUUUCCAGGUUGACCUCGGAUCAGGUAGGGAUACCCGCUGAACUUAAGC